rnacentral:tRNA from 3 species
GGGCUGUUAGCUCAGCUGGUAGAGCACUGGACUCUUAAUCCAUUGGUCGCGGGUUCGAACCCCUCACAGCCCACCA